rnacentral:rRNA from 1 species
UGGGGAAUAUUGGACAAUGGGCGAAAGCCUGAUCCAGCCAUGCCGCGUGUGUGAAGAAGGCCUUAUGGUUGUAAAGCACUUUAAGUUGGGAGGAAGGGCAGUAAGCGAAUACCUUGCUGUUUUGACGUUACCGACAGAAUAAGCACCGGCUAACUCUGUGCCAGCAGCCGCGGUAAUACAGAGGGUGCGAGCGUUAAUCGGAUUUACUGGGCGUAAAGCGUGCGUAGGCGGCUAAUUGAGUCGGAUGUGAAAUCCCCGAGCUUAACUUGGGAAUUGCAUUCGAUACUGGUUAGCUAGAGUGUGGGAGAGGAUGGUAGAAUUCCAGGUGUAGCGGUGAAAUGCGUAGAUAUAGGAAGGAACACCAGUGGCGAAGGCGACCACCUGGGCUCAUACUGACACUGAGGUGCGAAAGCGUGGGGAGCAAACAGG